rnacentral:rRNA from 1 species
UACGUAGGGUGCAAGCGUUAAUCGGAAUUACUGGGCGUAAAGCGUGCGCAGGCGGUUCGGCAAGAAGGAUGUGAAAUCCCGGGGCUUAACCUCGGAACUGCAUUCUUAACUGCCGGGCUAGAGUAUGUCAGAAGGGGGUAGAAUUCCACGUGUAGCAGUGAAAUGCGUAGAGAUGUGGAGGAAUACCGAUGGCGAAGGCAGCCCCCUGGGAUAAUACUGACGCUCAUGCACGAAAGCGUGGGGAGCAAACAGG